rnacentral:lncRNA from 1 species
UACAGAAAGCGAUCGCUAAGUCCGUGACUUAUGUAAAUCACGAUGUACGCAUUCAUGCAAUAAAGUAUGACGUGAAUUUCGGUUUCGAAUCUGUUUUUUGGAUGCGUAGCAGUUUCGUACAGUUUAGGUUUGACAUGCGAUCGCGCGUCGACAUCGGACGCUAUGGCACACUCGUGCCUUAUGUGCCACCGAAGCCCCGAAGUGCUCUGGCAUAUACCUUCACAUGUAAGUAAACGAAUGUAUCUCCUUGUUGAGAAUAUCACGUGAGUAGGCAGCUCUUGUGGUGCAUCACAAUCGUUUGAGAAGCGUCACAGUAGAGCAUUUUUCUACAUGCGGAGAGGUGUCUUUAUUUGCAGGUUUCCCUUCAGUAGGAAAUUGCUGGACAGGUGGACCAGCGCACCGGAAUUGUACUGGCGAAGCCACAAGCAACUCAAAGAAUCUGUUUAAUUGCUGCAUUUUGAACAAUCAUGCUUCUACAAAGGCCACAGCAGAAAAACAGCCUGAUGCCGAGUAUUUCUGUGCCACGAAGUAAUCAAGAGGCGAGUGCCUAAUGCGGACGAAAUCGAGUGCAUCGAGACUUAGAACGACAGAAAGCUGAGCUAGUUGAUAUGCAAUGGCAAGCCCUUCCGUGUGUUCCAAAGGUAAAAUUUAAGCUCUAAAUUAAAGAAGACAUUUCUAGUCAGAAACAAGCAAAAAUGGUGAAUGCAGAGUAUCAGAAGCCCAAGGUACAGAAAUUAUGAGAAGUGUCGAAUGAUUUUAAGGAAAGAGUCGUAUCUGAAAAUUCAAGACUCUUUAGUGGAGGUCAAGCAAGUCAAUAUAGGUAGAAUACUUUGCAAAAUUAUGCGAGUGAGGGGAUGUCAAACAAUGGGUCAGGAAAUGCGUUGUUUUUCUGCAAAACAAAAGCUGAUUGCCAUUACAUAAGUCACUUUAGCAUCGUGAGACUGCUGCUUGAUAAAUUCAGAAAUAAA